GCGGUUCCCGUAGUGUAGUGAAAGUUAUCACGUUCGCUUCACACGCGAAAGGUCUCCGGUUCGAACCCCGGACGGUCCGCA